rfam:Fonticula alba strain ATCC 38817 mitochondrial scaffold supercont2.211, whole genome shotgun sequence.
GGAGUAUUAGUACAAUGGUUAGUACAAUCGACUCAUAUUCGUUUGAUCUAGGUUCGAUUCCUAGAUACUCCU